AGAGUUUGAUCCUGGCUCAGAACGAACGCUGGCGGCAUGCCUAACACAUGCAAGUCGAACGAGACCUUCGGGUCUAGUGGCGCACGGGUGCGUAACGCGUGGGAAUCUGCCCUUGGGUUCGGAAUAACAGCUAGAAAUGGCUGCUAAUACCGAAUAAUGACGUAAGUCCAAAGAUUUAUCGCCCAAGGAUGAGCCCGCGUAGGAUUAGCUAGUUGGUGAGGUAAAAGCUCACCAAGGCGACGAUCCUUAGCUGGUCUGAGAGGAUGAUCAGCCACACUGGGACUGAGACACGGCCCAGACUCCUACGGGAGGCAGCAGUGGGGAAUAUUGGACAAUGGGCGAAAGCCUGAUCCAGCAAUGCCGCGUGAGUGAUGAAGGCCUUAGGGUUGUAAAGCUCUUUUACCCGGG
rnacentral:rRNA from 1 species